GUGAAACCGCGAAUGGCUCAUUAAAUCACACCUAAUCUACUGGAUAGUAGUCGGUUACUUGGAUAACUGCGGUAAUUCUGGAGCUAAUACAUGCACACAAGCCUCGAACUUACGUGAGAGGCGCUUUUAUUAGAUCAAAACCAGUCGGCUUUGGCCGUCCAUUUGGUGACUCUGAAUAACUUUGGGCUGAUCGCAUGGCCUUGCGCCGGCGACAUAUCCUUCGAAGGUGUGCCCUAUCAACUGUCGACUGUGGCAUAGACGCCCACAGUGGUUUUGACGGGUAACGGGGAAUCAGGGUUCGAUUCCGGAGAGGGAGCCUUAAAAACGGCUACCACAUCCAAGGAAGGCAGCAGGCACGCAAAUUACCCAAUGACCGAAGGUCGAGGUAGUGACGAAAAAUAACGAUACGGGACUCAUCCGAGGCCCCGUAAUCGGAAUGAGUACACUUUAAAUCCGUCUCCGAGGAUCUAUUGGAGGGCAAGUCUGGUGCCAGCAGCCGCGGUAAUUCCAGCUCCAAUAGCGUAUAUUAAAGUUGUUGCGGUUAAAAAGCUCGUAGUUGGUUCUCGGCAGGUAGAGGGCGGUUUGCUUUGUAGUAUUACUACCCUAUUACCUGUAGUUUUGCUGGAGGUUUCAGGGUGCUCUUAAUCGAGUGUCUUGGGAUGCCAUCAGGUUUACUUUGAAAAAAUUAGAGUGCUCAAAG
rnacentral:rRNA from 1 species